rnacentral:rRNA from 1 species
GUCUAUAGCAAUGUCACCCUGAACAAGCCCAAUGUCUGAUCUCAGAAGCUAAGCAGGGUCGGGCCUGGUUAGUACUUGAAUAGACCACCUAGGAAGACAAGUUGCUUUAGGCA